GUCCUCACUUCAGCAGCACAUAUACUAAAAUUGGAAGGGUAUAAAGAAGAUUAGCAUGGCCCCUUCACAAUGCAAAUUCGUGAAGCGUUCCAUAUUUUU
rnacentral:snRNA from 1 species